rnacentral:rRNA from 1 species
GACGAACGCUGGCGGCGUGCUUAACACAUGCAAGUCGAACGGAAAGGCCCUGCUUUUGUGGGGUGCUCGAGUGGCGAACGGGUGAGUAACACGUGAGUAACCUGCCCUUGACUUUGGGAUAACUUCAGGAAACUGGGGCUAAUACCGGAUAGGAGCUCCUGCUGCAUGGUGGGGGUUGGAAAGUUUCGGCGGUUGGGGCUGGACUCGCGGGUUAUCAGCUUGUUGGUGGGGUAGUGGCUUACCAAGGCUUUGACGGGUAGCCGGCCUGAGAGGGUGACCGGCCACAUUGGGACUGAGAUACGGCCCAGAAUCCUACGGGAGGCAGCAGUGGGGAAUAUUGCACAAUGGGGGGAAGGCUGAUGCGGCAACGCCGCGUGCGGGAUGACGGCCUUCGGGUUGUGAACCGCUUUCGCCUGUGACGAAGCGUGAGUGACGGUAAUGGGUAAAGAAGCACCGGCUAACUACGUG